rnacentral:tRNA from 1 species
UUUAUCUUGGUGUAAUAAGCACAUAAAAUUUUGAUAUUUAGGGUAUUAGCUAGAU